ACGGAAGGCAGCAGUGGGGAAUAUUGCACAAUGGGGGAAACCCUGAUGCAGCGACGCCGCGUGAGUGAAGAAGUUAUUCGUAAUGUAAAGCUCUAUCAGCAGGGAAGAAAAUGACGGUACCUGACCAAGAAGCCCCGGCUAACUACGUGCCAGCAGCCGCGGUAAUACGUAGGGGGCAAGCGUUAUCCGGAUUUACUGGGUGUAAAGGGAGCGUAGACGGUCUAGCAAGUCUGAUGUGAAAGGCAGGGGCUCAACUCCUGGACUGCAUUGGAAACUGUUAGUCUUGAGUGUCGGAGAGGUAAGCGGAAUUCCUAGUGUAGCGGUGAAAUGCGUAGAUAUUAGGAGGAACACCAGUGGCGAAGGCGGCUUACUGGACGAUAACUGACGUUGAGGCUCGAAAGCGUGGGGAGCAAACAGGAUUAGAUACCCUGGUA
rnacentral:rRNA from 1 species